AUUGAACGCUGGCGGCAGGCCUAACACAUGCAAGUCGAACGAGUGGCGGACGGGUGAGUAAUGUCUGGGAAACUGCCUGAUGGAGGGGUAUAACUACUGGAAACGGUAGCUAAUACCGCAUACCAUCAGAUGUGCCCAGAUGGGAUUAGCUUGUUGGUGGGGUAACCGCUCACCAAGGAGACGAUCCCUAGCUGGUAUGAGAGGAUGACCAGCCAAAAUGGAACUGAGACACGGACCAGAAUACUACGAGAGGCAGCAGUGGGGAAUAUUGCAAAAUGGGCGCAAGACAGAGGCAGCCAUGCCGCGGGUAUGAAGAAGGACUUCGGGUUGUAAAGUACUGUAAGCGGGGAGGGGUUACACGCAGAAGAAGAACAGGCUAACUCCGUGCCAGACGCCGCGGUAAUAC
rnacentral:rRNA from 1 species